UACACUCCUGCGGGAGGCAGCAGUGGGGAAUUUUGGACAAUGGGCGAAAGCCUGAUCCAGCCAUGCCGCGUGCAGGAUGAAGGCCUUCGGGUUGUAAACUGCUUUUGUACGGAACGAAACGGCCUUUUCUAAUAAAGAGGGCUAAUGACGGUACCGUAAGAAUAAGCACCGGCUAACUACGUGCCAGCAGCCGCGGUAAUACGUAGGGUGCAAGCGUUAAUCGGAAUUACUGGGCGUAAAGCGUGCGCAGGCGGUUAUGUAAGACAGUUGUGAAAUCCCCGGGCUCAACCUGGGAACUGCAUCUGUGACUGCAUAGCUAGAGUACGGUAGAGGGGGAUGGAAUUCCGCGUGUAGCAGUGAAAUGCGUAGAUAUGCGGAGGAACACCGAUGGCGAAGGCAAUCCCCUGGACCUGUACUGACGCUCAUGCACGAAAGCGUGGGGAGCAAACAGGAUUAGAAACCCUAGUAGUCCCAUGAU
rnacentral:rRNA from 1 species